rnacentral:rRNA from 1 species
GACGAACGCUGGCGGCGUGCUUAACACAUGCAAGUCGAACGGUAAGGCCCUUCGGGGUACACGAGUGGCGAACGGGUGAGUAACACGUGGGUGAUCUGCCUGCACUUCGGGAUAAGCCUGGGAAACUGGGUCUAAUACCGGAUAGGACCAUGGACUUCACGGUUUGUGGUGGAAAGCUUUUGCGGUGUGGGAUGGGCCCGCGGCCUAUCAGCUUGUUGGUGGGGUAAUGGCCUACCAAGGCGACGACGGGUAGCCGGCCUGAGAGGGUGUCCGGCCACACUGGGACUGAGAUACGGCCCAGACUCCUACGGGAGGCAGCAGUGGGGAAUAUUGCACAAUGGGCGCAAGCCUGAUGCAGCGACGCCGCGUGAGGGAUGACGGCC